AUGUUUCUGGGUAUUUUUGAAGGACUGAACCUUAGGCUGCUUCUUGGGGGAGGCAAAAUCCCAGCCCAGAAAGAAAACCUCCAGAGAUUCUGUGAUGAAGGUCUGCAGGUAGAACAGGAGAGAGGCAGGAUCAGACUUCUGGGGCUGGAUCAGACUUCUGACUUUCUGACUGCUUGUUCCCAUCUGGGCUUUUGCUACUCACCCUGAAGAGGUGCAUCAGAAAAACUGCAGGAGGGAGAAGAUGAGUCCUGUGGGAUGUACAUUUCUCUUUCCAAACAGUAAGAUGAAAUGGCUCAAGUUCAGACUCACAACUUCAUGUACAAGAAUCUCAGCAAUUUCAUUUUCAGUUGUUAAUAAUUUUUAUGUUUCCUCAGUGGAAAAAUGCUUAAAUGUAAUUUACUUUCAAUCCACCAAAAGGUUAUAAACUAUUUCUGGGCUGAAGGCUGCUAAACUAUGUCAAUUCAAAAAAACCACCAAGACAAACAGGUAUUCUUGCAAGAAGUACUGUUCACAAACUCGAAGUCCAAGGAAAAUGUGCCAGAGAAAUGAAACAAUGGGGGAAAAACAGCCUAUUUCCUUCAAGGGCUGUGUAAAUAUCUCUGGAAUGUGUGUAGCCUCCACUGUGUACUUCAGGGUGACCUCCUUCUGGGGUUUGCAUUUUCCAUAACUUCCCUCUGGUAAGAGAAAGACUUGAUGUGUACAUUCAGGUCCCCAGCUAGGGUCUGUCAGCCUCGCCUGCUGCAGUCAGCAACACCAAAGUGAUUUAGUGCAGCUGAGGCACUGGCUCAUUGCUCACCAGCUAUUCUGAGAAGCAGAGCUCAGGCUUUGCCUGUCCCAGCAUUGGUCCAGCUGCCUCCUGAACCAGUGGGAGUCACAAGGGGUCUGGCUGCAAUGCAGGGGGAGGGAGAGGGGCAGAGAAGAAUUUAGAUCUCCCAAACUGUGACUCUGUCAAACUGAUGUAAAAGUACUGCCCCAUGGUAUCACAUUUAUCUUUCCCUAUUUGCUAUCUAUAUGUGCAAUAAAGCACUGGAUGUUUAGCUGAUUUGAAAGUUG
rnacentral:lncRNA from 1 species